rnacentral:rRNA from 1 species
AUUGAACGCUGGCGGCAUGCUUUACACAUGCCAGUCGAACGGUAACAGGCCUUCGGGUGCUGACGAGUGGCGAACGGGUGAGUAAUGCAUCGGAACGUACCCAGAGGUGGGGGAUAACGCAGCGAAAGCUGUGCUAAUACCGCAUGUGAUCUGAGGAUGAAAGCGGGGGACCGAGCAGCAAUGUUUGGCCUCGCGCCUUUGGAGCGGCCGAUGUCGGAUUAUCUAGUUGGUGGGGUAAAGGCCUACCAAGGCGACGAUCCGUAGCUGGUCUGAGAGGACGACCAGCCACACUGGGACUGAGACACGGCCCAGACUCCUACGGGAGGCAGCAGUGGGGAAUUUUGGACAAUGGGCGCAAGCCUGAUCCAGCAAUGCCGCGUGCGGGAAGAAGGCCUUCGGGUUGUAAACCGCUUUUGGCAGGAACGAAACGGUGUCCGCUAAUACCGGGCGCUAAUGACGGUACCUGCAGAAUAAGCACCGGCUAACUACGUG